ACAUACCGUGUAAGAAGAGGUACCACGUAAAGUGUGUUUAAAAGGGAAACUGGUGCAAAUCCAGUACUGUCCCGCAACUGUAAUUCGGAGCAACUCUUAUUAUUGCCACUGAGUAAUUGGGAAGGCAAGAGAAGCGAUGAUGAUAAGUCAGGAGACCUGCCUCAUUCUAGUACACACC
rnacentral:ncRNA from 2 species